GACGUAGGGUCCAAGCGUUGUUCGGAAUUACUGGGCGUAAAGGGCUCGUAGGCGGCCAACUAAGUCAGACGUGAAAUCCCUCAGCUUAACUGGGGAACUGCGUCUGAUACUGGAUGGCUUGGAUCCGGAAGAGGGAUGCGGAAUUCCAGGUGUAGCGGUGAAAUGCGUAGAUAUCUGGAGGAACACCGGUGGCGAAGGCGGCAUCCUGGGCCGGUAUUGACGCUGAGGAGCGAAAGCCAGGGGAGCAAAGCGGG
rnacentral:rRNA from 1 species